rnacentral:lncRNA from 1 species
CUCAUCUCCCUUCACCCCAAGCCUAGCUCAUAGUAGUGAUUUUUAUUCUGAAGAGGGAAAUCAACUAACAAACAGGAUGAGUGAGGACAAUAUCCAGAUAUUAGCUCCUCCUCAUCAGCCACAGAAGUUUGUGUCUACUCUCUAGCUCCACCUACUGGACCUUGUGUAAAUCACCUGAAUAAAUGCACAAGCGCUCACUGCAAGACCCCAUGCUAUACAAGGCACUGAGGGAAAGGAAGCAACAUUAUUCUUUCAGGGACUGCUAGGAUUAAAAGAAACUUUUAAGGCGAAUCUCCUCUUUUACUGAAGAGAAAACUAAGUGCUAGAUGCAUUGGGCAUUUGCUGCAUGUGGAGUCAAAUUGGCCAGAGUUUGAACCAUGGUCCUGCCACUUCCUGAUAAUGGCACCUCAGAUGCAGCCUACAUCAAGGAAGCUGCCUGCUGUUAGGGGAACAGGAUACCUGCAGAGGCUCCGGUCCUGACAAUGCCUUCAGCUCCACCUCCCACCAAAGACCUGUGUGGUGUCAGCAGCAGCCCCAUUUGCAGGUAUCUGGGCUGCUGACCCAAUAAAAUGGAGCCCCUGUGACCUGCUUUCAGGGCUUUCACAACUGGUCCCGCAUGACGACCCUGCCUGACAACCCCAACUUGGCUUCAGCCUUCCUCUUGCUGGAUGACUUCAGCAAGUCAGACACUCUCCAUGCAUGUGCCUUCUCGUUUAUAAAACAAAGACAGGAUUAUUGUGAGAAUCAAAUAAAAUAAUGGAUAUAAGCA